AAUAGGAGAAUGACAAAUCAGAAUUUUUGUCCUGAUUUUCAGCUUUUUCCUCUUGAAAAAAAAUUCAAAUUCAAGUAAAAAUGCUAAAAAUCAAGAGGAAAAAUCUGAUUUGUCAUUCUCCUAUU
rfam:Gossypium raimondii Chr10_contig_26, whole genome shotgun sequence.